UCAAACUUUCGGCAAAGGGUGUUGUCUACUCCUUUAAUUCUUUGCUUCAACAUGCUGAUAGGUAAGGGUUAAAGUAAAAAGAACUUUACGCUUUUCAGACAUAUAAUCAAUGGUUCUACAAACCAAAAAUUCCCCCACACUUAUUGUCUUUUGCUCACUCAUGGAUCUGUCUGCUGUUUCUUCCGCUCUGUAAACAAUCGGCGAGUUAAGUAACGUCCUUGUUGGGUGUGGAUGAGCAAGUUGAGAGCUUGGGAAGGGAGCUGAGAUGGAUCAAAGCUGCUUAAUGGUGGCUGGUGCAAGAAAAGUCGAUAACGAAGUGAUACGUACCAGUGUUGCAGAGAUCAGAGAGUUGGCCUACGAUGUUGAAGAUGUGCUCGAAACGUUUUCCCUCAAAGUUGCAUCCAAAAGGAAAAGUGGUUUCUCAAAUUGCAUCAAAGGGUGCGGUUGUUUCCUCAAGGAGGUGUGUUUGCUCCACCGGACCAGUCGGAGAUAGGGAAGAUCACGGCCAGAAUCGAAGAAUUGACACGACGAUUGAAGCCGUACAACGUAACAAGGCUGGGGGAUCACGGUGAAGGGCCGAGUUCAUCGACUGAAAGGCGAGAACAAGGCUGGGGGAUCACGUAACAAGGCUUAGCCUCAAGAGAAAACAUGGUUGAUGCGAAAUUGAAGCAGUUGGGGGAGGAAAUGGUUAAACAUUGUGCAAGGCUUCCAUUAGCCGUAGUCACGUUGGGAGGGAUGUUGGUUACAAAGGACAACCCAUUAAAUGAAUGGCUAAAGGUAUCUGCAAAUGUGAAAUCAUACUUGAAGAGGGGCAAAAGUGAAGGACCAGAAGAUGUGUUAGCCUUGAGUUAUGAUGAUUUGCCUCCCUAUUUAAGGCCAUGUUUUCUUUAUUCAAGUCAUUUUCCUGAUGAUUAUGAGAUAUCCGUUGAUAGGUUGAAUCAAUUGUGGGUUGCCAAAGGUAUUGUUCUAUCGAAGGACGAACAGAUCCGAGACAUUUGAAUCACCUCCAUUCAAGCUGCCUUAUUCUCUGUAAGUUAAGUUUAGAUGCGGAGAUAAAUGAGUUACCAAAGUACAACCUCUUGUCUCCGAAUCUUGCGUACGUAAAGUUGAGCUUUUGCAGGCUUGAGGAAGAUCCGAUGCCAACACUAGAGAAGCUGCCUAACUUGAGGAUUCUUAAAUUGGAUUCUGGGGCUUUAGUAGCAAACAAAAUACUUUGCUCUGCACAAGGUUUUCCUAAACUUGAGUCUUUAGAGGUUAAAUGCCUCGAAAACUUGGAGGAGUGGAACGUGGAAGAAGGAGCCUUGCCUUCUCUUCCGCGGAUUGGAGAUCAAAUACUGCCGAGCGCUGAAGAUGGUUCCGGUUGGAUUGAGGUUCAUUACAACCCUCCAAAAACUGGAGAUUAAAGGAGUGUCAAAGGAACUCAAAGAUAAAGUGGUGGAAGGAGGAGAGGAUUUUAACAAAGUCCAGCACAUUCCUUCUAUCAUAUUCCAAGGUGAAUGUGUUAUCCCAAGCUAAUUGUUUCAAGGCAAUACUUAAGUUAGGCAGCUUCUCUAGUGUUGGCAUUGGAUCUUCCUCAAGCUUGCAAAAGCUCAACUUUAUGUAAGCAAGAUUCGAGGACAAGUGGUUGUACUUUGGUCGCUCAUUUAUCUCCGCAUCUAAACUCAACUUACAGAGACUAAUGCCGCUUGAAAGGAGGUGAUUUAAAUGUCUCGGGUCUACUAGUCCACCAUGAUCAAUAAUAGACCGGAAAUGGAGAUAUUUUCCUUCAAUGAUGGGUGGAUUCUUUUCAAGUUCCUCCUCAUUAAAAUCUUCGAUCUCGAACGGGCCUCGAAUCACCAACUCUCUAAGGUUCCACAUGUUGAUAAGAUCCUUUAGAUAACAACUCUUGGGAUUGAGAUUCACAAGUGUUUGCAGGUAUCUCAAAGUACCCAACUUCAACUUCGUUUUACUAUCAUAUUUCAAAAGGAGAUAUAGAUGUCUUAGUUGCUUCAUCAUCCAUAUCUCAAAGCACCCGAAGAUAUGGAACUUGUGGAAAGGUGCAUGAUUCAAGUACGAAAUAGGAUGCAAGUUACCCAAUGAUAUAGGUAAUCUCAUCCAUUUAAGAUUCUUGAGUCUAAGGGAUCUUGAGAUCUAAUGGUGGAAGUUACCGUCAUCUUUGGGCAACUUAAGGUGCAUGCAAACCUUGGAUUUAAGACUUGGUAAUAAUAUAUUUCAUACUGUUCAUGUACCUAAUGUGAUAUGGAGGAUGAAGCAACCAUAUCCCUAAGGAAUGUAGUCGUAAAAUAAAGUUGAAGUUGGGUACUCUGAGAAACCUGCAAACACUUACGAACUUCAACCACAAGAGUUGUUAUCCAAAGGAUCUUAUCCACUUAACAAACCUUAGAGAGUUGGUGAUUUAUGGGCCGAUCGAGAUUGAAGAUUUUAACUAUGAGGAGUUGGAGAGGAAUCCACCCAUCACUGUGGAUGGAGCCAUGCCCUGUUGGAGGAUCAUAUCGGAGAAAAGUCCCAAGUUUCCUUGUAAUCUAAAAUAUAAGAGAAUUUGAAAUUUUCAAAAGAGUGACAUAUAUGUACAAGACCUUUUGAGUAGGCGCAGCAUCCUUGUUCGGCAAACUUUCCUAUUGUCCAAUAUUAAAUGUGUAACUCUUAAAUUAUAGCUUGACUGCAUCUAA